rnacentral:piRNA from 1 species
UGGAAGUUGAAGUUCAAGACUGGGCAGCCU